rnacentral:tRNA from 1 species
AUUAAUAUGGCAGAAUAGUGCAAUGAAUUUAAGAUUCAAAUAUAAAAUUUUAUUAAAAUUUUUAUUAAUA